rnacentral:rRNA from 1 species
AGGAUGAACGCUGGCGGCGUGCUUAACACAUGCAAGUCGAACGAUGAAGGCUGGAGCUUGCUCUGGCUGGAUUAGUGGCGAACGGGUGAGUAACACGUGAGUAACCUGCCCCAGACUCUGGGAUAAGCGCUGGAAACGGCGUCUAAUACCGGAUACGAGCUUCCACCGCAUGGUGAGGAGCUGGAAAGAAUUUCGGUCUGGGAUGGACUCGCGGCCUAUCAGCUUGUUGGUGAGGUAAUGGCUCACCAAGGCGACGACGGGUAGCCGGCCUGAGAGGGGUGACCGGGCC